UACGUAGGGUCCAAGCGUUAUCCGGAAUCACUGGGCGUAAAGCGUGCGUAGGUGGAUUGUUAAGUGCAAUGCGAAAUCCUGUGGCUCAACCAUAUGGACUGUAUUGCAUACUGGCAAUCUAGAGGACGGCAGAGGCAAGUGGAAUUACUGGUGUAGCAGUGAAAUGCGUAGAUAUCAGUAGGAACACCAAAUGGGCGAAGGCA
rnacentral:rRNA from 1 species